CCUACGGGAGGCUGCAGUGAGGAAUAUUGGUCAAUGGGCGAGAGCCUGAACCAGCCAAGUCGCGUGAGGGAAGACGGUCCUAUGGAUUGUAAACCUCUUUUGUCGGGGAGCAAAAAGGCCUCGUGAGGCCACAAGUGAGAGUACCCGAAGAAAAAGCAUCGGCUAACUCCGUGCCAGCAGCCGCGGUAAUACGGAGGAUACGCGCGUUAGCCGGAUUUAUUGGGUUUAAAGGUUGCGCGGGCGGAAUAUCAGGUCAGCGGUAAAAUUGAGAGGCUCAACCUCUUCGAGCCGUUGAAACUGGAUGUCGUGAGUGAGCGAGAAGUAGGCGGAAUGCGUGGUGUAGCGGUGAAAUGCAUAGAUAUCACGCAGAACUCCGAUUGCGAAGGCAGCAUACCGGCGCUCAACUGACGCUCAUGCACGAAAGUGUGGGUAUCGAACAGGAUUAGAUACCCGUGUAGUC
rnacentral:rRNA from 1 species